GAUGAACGCUGGCGGCGUGCCUAAUACAUGCAAGUCGAGCGAAUGGAUUAAGAGCUUGCUCUUAUGAAGUUAGCGGCGGACGGGUGAGUAACACGUGGGUAACCUGCCCAUAAGACUGGGAUAACUCCGGGAAACCGGGGCUAAUACCGGAUAGCAUUUUGAACCGCAUGGUUCGAAAUUGAAAGGCGGCUUCGGCUGUCACUUAUGGAUGGACCCGCGUCGCAUUAGCUAGUUGGUGAGGUAACGGCUCACCAAGGCAACGAUGCGUAGCCGACCUGAGAGGGUGAUCGGCCACGCUGGGACUGAGACACGGCCCAGCCUCCUACGGGAGGCAGCAGUAGGGAAUCUUCCGCAAUGGACGAAAGUCUGACGGAGCAACGCCGCGUGAGUGAUGAAGGCUUUCGGGUCGUAAAACUCUGUUGUUAGGGAAGAACAAGUGCUAGUUGAAUAAGCUGACACCUUGACGGUACCUAACCAGAAAGCCACGGCUAACUACGUGCCAGCAGCCGCCGUAA
rnacentral:rRNA from 1 species